CCUUCUUUUAGUUUCGGGUUUCAUUCUGACCAUGAUUGUCCAAAUUCAAGCAGAAUAUUUAGGUUUAUUGGCCUAUGGUUGGGGAACAGCCCUACAUCCCUUUUCUCAGCCCUCAGCCACCCCCCUCUCCUAAUUCCCAUGUCCUCCUCCCUGUCCUUAUCCUCUCCCCCAUCCUCUCCUACACAUCUUCGUCCUCGCCCUCCUCUCUCUGUGCUAGAUCAACCGUCCACCCCAACUCCUCUUCCUCCUCAGCCACUCCCUACCCUAGAUCUCCCAAGCGGCCUCUCUCAUCUCUCCCAAGCUUCUCCAUUGGUUUCUCGCCUCUCUCCAAAACUUAGGGAUGAGAACAGGGUGUGUGCUGAUCUUGGAACACUUUAAAGGAGAUUGUGGAAGCUGGCUACACCAUAUUGGUCAUCAGAGGACAAAGUCCAAGCUAGGCUAAGGCUUGUUGGUAGUUAUGCUCAUCCUGGUAGUUAGGAGUAUCAUUCCUCAAAAACAUUUACGAGAUGUAUAGUUUCAGCAUUUCUGGGCUGGAUCCUCUUCCAAUCAGUCCCAUAAGCUCUAGCAGUUCUAGGCUGAUCCUUCGAUACUCCCACAAUCUCAGCAACCUUGGAUAGGAAUUUGUUAUCAUCUGUGCAGCAGCUUGAGCCAAAGUAUGAGCUUCUUGAUGAUGAUGAAGAUGAGGAGGUUGUUGUGGAUGACUUAUAGAUUCAGGAUAAUUUAAUAAAUUUUAUUUCAAAUUUAUUUUAUUUUGUAUGAUGUAUAUUUUAUAUUUUUUAAUUACUUUCAUCUUUUUGUAUUUGUUUUGUAAAUGAUCAGAGGAGAGGGAAGACUAGAUGAGACCCACAUGAGCUAGGGAUGUGUGGCAGCUUCGUGAGGGUGAGAGGAUCGUUAUUACAUGCAAUAACUCGGGGUUGAUAGUUAGGAGGCCGAAAAGUUUUCCAGCAAGUUUUCUAGAAUCAAUAGCUCGAAAGAGGUAUAUAUGUCUAAUUAACUAUCUAUGAUGGAAUGAUAUAUUUUCUUCUUA